AUUGAACGCUGGCGGCAGGCCUAACACAUGCAAGUCGAGCGGAUGACGGGAGCUUGCUCCUGGAUUCAGCGGCGGACGGGUGAGUUAUGCCUAGGAAUCUGACUGGUAGUGGGGGAUAACGUUUCGAAAGGAACGCUAAUAUCGCAUACGUAUUACGGGAGAAAGCAGCGGCCCGUCGGGCAUUGCGCUAUCAGAUGAGCAUAGGUCGGACUAGCUAGUUGGUGAGGGAAAGGCUCACCAAGGCGACGAUCCGUAGCUGAUCUGAGAGGAUGAUCAGUCAAACUGGAACUGAGACACGGGCCAGACUCAUACGGGAGGCAGCAUUGGGGAAUAUUGGACAAUGGGCGAAAGCCUGAUACAGCCAUGCCGCGUGUGUGAAGAAGGUCUUCGGAUUGUAAAGCACUUUAAGUUGGGAGGAAGGGCAGUAAGCGAAUACCUUGCUGUUUUGACGUUACCGACAGAAUAAGCACCGGCUAACUCUGUGCCAGCCGCCGCCGUAACAC
rnacentral:rRNA from 1 species